UACGUAGGGUGCAAGCGUUGUCCGGAAUUAUUGGGCGUAAAGAGCUCGUAGGCGGUUUGUCGCGUCUGCUGUGAAAAACCCGAGGCUCAACCUCGGGCCUGCAGUGGGUACGGGCAGACUAGAGUGCGGUAGGGGGAGAUUGGAAUUCCUGGUGUAGCGGUGGAAUGCGCAGAUAUCAGGAGGAACACCAAUGGCGAAGGCAGAUCUCUGGGCCGUAACUGACGCUGAGGAGCGAAAGCAUGGGGAGCGAACAGG
rnacentral:rRNA from 1 species